UUCAACCAGUUACCGGAUCGGCGCAGUAGAGUGAACAAUUAAUUAUUUGUGCUCAAGUCCACGCGAAUGGGACUGUACCGUAGUGAUCAGUUCUGAGACAGCAGAUGUUUUUAUUUGGGAUUACAAGAGGAAAUGUCUGUUCGCCCUUUUAUUUGCAUUUUGGAAGAUGUUCCUCAGGGAAGUAAACGUGUUUCUCUUGUCCUUCUGUUGAAAACGACUACAUGAAAGAAGUGUGCAAUGCUACCUAGGAAGAAGUGGAACAGAGAGGCGAUAAAAUCCCAAUAUUUUAUAGUGACCAAAAAUGAACCUUUGUAGCCCGUGUCUAAUAUAAAUAAAUAUUGUAACAUGUUUUUAAUA